GUCCAACAGGACGUCUAAUUCUCAGGCCCAAAGUGCUGCAGUUGGAGAUUGUAGCAAAGUCAUUUUCCUCAGAGCAUCAGUAACUUUAAAUCCUCAAUAUAACUCUUCAUCACUCAAUGCGAUUACUGUUACAUGGCACAUAUCAGAUUUUACAGGAUAUUGUGCUAUUUAAACAUACAAUAAUAUAUAAACUCUUCUUUGCAGACUGAACAGGUGUGACCUCACAGGGAUGUCCUGUGAAAUUGUGGCCUCUGCUCUUCAGUCAUCAAACUCACCCCUGAGAGAUCUGGACCUCAGCUACAAUAACCUGGGAGAUUCAGGAGUGAAGCUGCUCUGUGCUGGACUGAUGAGUCCAAACUGUAAACUACAGAGACUGGACCUCAGCUACAAUAACCUGGGAUAUUCAGGAGUGAAGCUGUUCUGUGCUGGACUGAUGAGUCCAGACUGUAAACUACAGACACUGGGACUGAACAGGUGUCGCCUCACAGAGAAGUCCUGUGAAAAUGUGGCCUCUGCUCUCCAGUCAUCAGACUCACCCCUGAGAGAUCUGGACCUCAGCAACAAUAACCUGGGAGAUUCAGGAGUGAAGCUGCUCUGUGCUGGACUGAUGAGUCCAAACUGUAAACUACAGACACUGGGACUGAACAGCUGUGACCUCACAGGGCAGUCCUGUGAAAUUGUGGCCUCUGCUCUUCAGACAUCAGACUCACCCCUGAGAGAUCUGGACCUCAGCAACAAUAACCUUGGAGAUUCAGGAGUGAAGCUGCUCUGUGCUGCACUGAUGAGUCCAGACUGUAAACUACAGACACUGGGGUGAGUAGUGCUGUGUACUGUGUGACCUUAACUAAAUAGAAUUAGUGAUUAUGGCUCUGUGCAGUGAAAUAUAGGGUUGCCAGGUUUGUGGUUCCUGACCAUAACAUAAAGUUUCAGUGGAGUCUGUAGUAUCAGGUCACAGGUGAUGACUAAAUACUGAAUGCAUGAUUGACAUUGUAAAAUAUUGACCACUUCAGUACAGUAAUAUGUUUCAUGUCUAUCAUAACAUAACAAAAACA